rnacentral:rRNA from 1 species
CCAGACUCCUACGGGAGGCAGCAGUGGGGAAUAUUGGGCAAUGGGCGCAAGCCUGACCCAGCAACGCCGCGUGAAGGAAGAAGGCUUUCGGGUUGUAAACUUCUUUUAAGAGGGAAGAGUAGAAGACGGUACCUCUUGAAUAAGCCACGGCUAACUACGUGCCAGCAGCCGCGGUAAUACGUAGGUGGCAAGCGUUGUCCGGAUUUACUGGGUGUAAAGGGCGUGUAGCCGGGCCGGCAAGUCAGGUGUGAAAACUCCGGGCGCAACCUGGAGACUGCACUUGAAACUGGGUGUCUUGAGGGCAGGAGAGGAAAGUGGAAUUCCUAGUGUAGCGGUGAAAUGCGUAGAUAUUAGGAGGAACACCAGUGGCGAAGGCGACGUUCUGGACUGUACCUGACGCUGAGGCGCGAAAGCGUGGGUAGCGAACGGGAUUAGAUACCCCAGUAGCA